AACUAACGCUGGUGGCAGGCCUAAAACAUGCAAGUCAAGCGCCCCGCAAGGGGAGCGGCAGACGGGUGAGUAACGCGUGGGAAUCUAUCCAUCUCUACGGAGUAACGCAUGGAAACGUGUUCUAAUACCGUAUACGUCCGUCGGGUGAAAGAUUUAUCGGAGAGGGCGGAGUGCCCCGCGCUGGUUUAGCUGGUUGGCGGGGUAAAGGCCUACCAAGGCGUCGAUGCAUAGCUGGUCUGGGAGGAGGAGCAGCCACACUGGGACGGAGACACGGCCCAGACCCGGCGGGGAGGCAGAGGUGGGAAAGAUGAGACAAUGGAGAAAAGCCGGUUCCAGGCAGCCCGCGUGAGUGAGAAAGGCCCUAGGUUUAUAAAGCUCUUUCACCGGUGCAUAUAAUGGCGGUAACCGGAGAAGAAGCCCCGGCUAACUUCGUGCCAGCCGCCGCCGUAACAC
rnacentral:rRNA from 1 species